rnacentral:siRNA from 1 species
CUGAGCACUUUUGGGAUCGAA